rnacentral:tRNA from 1 species
GCCAUCGUGGUGUAGUGUUCAGCACACUCGGCUCGUAUUCGAGAAGUCCGUGGUUCGAGUCUCGGCGAGGGGG